AAUAAAAGAGGGGGAAUGAUCUAUGCAUAACGGACGUGAAUUAAUGAUGAUCAAAUGAAUGAUCCUGAACAUCUACAAAUGUCAGACAUAACCCCACCGUCUCCUCAGUCGGAGAAGGAAGUCGCGAGAGAGACAGUCACGGUUACGCACACAGAUGGCAUAUUUUAAUUAUGUUUACUUCAGAUUAUCUAGAACCGGAUGUUAAACAAAGUUUCCAAGUUGCCACAUAAUCGCGGGUAUAGCUUUCUGAAAGAUUUAACCUUGCACGGGUGCUCCAACUAAUCCAUCACACAAGAUGCAUAG
rnacentral:lncRNA from 1 species